rnacentral:rRNA from 1 species
AUGAACGCGACAGCAGAAGCUCGUAGUGGAGAAGGAGCACGCCACGGCGGCGAGCAAGAAAAAGAUGACCAGACGGAGAAGAAGGUGUCGUUGCUCGGCAUGUUCAGGUACGCCGACAGUCUCGACGUGCUGCUCAUGGUGGUCGGCUCGCUGGGGGCGGUGGGCAACGGCGUGGCGGGGUCCCUCAUGCUGGUCGUCUUUGGAGACGCCAUCAACUCCUUCGGCGAGAGCACCACCAGCACCGUCCUCCCCGCUGUCACCAAGGUGCGCCCCAGCUUACGGUGA